rnacentral:rRNA from 1 species
UACGUAGGGGGCUAGCGUUGUCCGGAAUCACUGGGCGUAAAGGGUGCGUAGGCGGGUCUUUAAGUCAGGGGUGAAAUCCUGGGAGCUCAACUCCAGAACUGCCUUUGAUACUGAAGAUCUUGAGUUCGGGAGAGGUGAGUGGAACUGCGAGUGUAGAGGUGAAAUUCGUAGAUAUCCGCAAGAACACCAGUGGCGGAAGGCG